CCUACGGGUGGCAGCAGUGAGGAAUAUUGGUCAAUGGGCUUACGCCUGAACCAGCCAAGUCGCGUGAGGGAAGACUGCCCUAUGGGUUGUAAACCUCUUUUGUCAGGGAGCAACGCCGGCUACGUGUAGCCGGACUGAGAGUACCUGAAGAAAAAGCCUCGGCUAACUCCGUGCCAGCAGCCGCGGUAAUACGUAGGGGGCAAGCGUUAUCCGGAUUUACUGGGUGUAAAGGGAGCGUAGACGGUGCAGCAAGUCUGAUGUGAAAGGUCGGGGCCCAACCCCGGGACUGCAUUGGAAACUGUUGAACUGGAGUACAGUUGAGGUAGGCGGAAUUCGUGGUGUAGCGGUGAAAUGCUUAGAUAUCACGAAGAACCCCGAUUGCGAAGGCAGCUUACUAAACUGUGACUGACAUUGAUGCUCGAAAGUGUGGGUAUCAAACAGGAUUAGAUACCCGAGUAGUC
rnacentral:rRNA from 1 species